rnacentral:tmRNA from 1 species
GGGGGCGACAUGGCUUCGACGUGGGUCGUGAAGCUUAGGGAGCAUGCCGGGGCGCUCGAGGACCUCGUAAAAACGAGCACACUUUUAGUUGGCACUGCUGACUAUGCAAUGGCUGCUUAAUUAGCAACCCAGCAAACGAGCCUAAGAAAGCGGGGCUCGGGCGCUGUCACUCUAGCUUUCUCGAUCCGAAAGUUGUUUCUCUGAGGGCCUAGGAUUUAAAUUAACUGAGAGAGUUCACUAAGAGGUUUUGUUUGUUGUAUCUCUGGCUGGACUAUAAACGACAGACUAAGCAUGUAGCCGCCCUAAUGUGAAUCACUUGCGGACGCGG